CGAUCUCCAUUUGAGUUUAUCAUUGACUUCAUUGACUUCAUUGAGAGGUAGAAAGCAGAGGGAAGAAUCCCUUGUCAGCUCCUUCACUUCCCGGACGUUGAAGGGAUGCUACCAAGCAUCACCUUUCAGACUUUAAACACUGCGUCAAUACUUCGCUUGAAACUUUCCUCUGACUGGGCUGUGAUACAUGAUUCGGGUAGGCGGUUCCAGCUAUUAACUACACGGGUAGAGAGAGUGGCGUCACCAUGGAUGCGUAACCUCCUCGGUCUUCACCAAGUUCGCCUCGGAGAAUGCGCCGGGUAUAUAUCAGAUCUCCUCGGUGACGACGGUAGGCCAGAGAAGAGAUUCAGCUGUUCCAGUCGAUCUUCGUAGGAAAGCUGGUGAAGUUUUGCAACUGUUUUCGUACCGCGACGUUGAACUCGCUCCAGCAUAUCGGAUUCGUACUUGGUCAAUGGGAAUACUGCAGGCAGUCCGUACUCAAGAAUGGGACGCACGUGAGAGAUAAACAGGGGUCUGAAAAUCGCAGGAGUCAUACGGGCAAAAGACCGUCUGAUGGAUCCAAACAUCCUGGUGGCAGCGGUGACCUUCUUCGUGGUGUCAAGACUAGUCUUUAGGUCUGACGACACUAUGACACCAAGGUCCUUCUCACUUGUGGUGUUUUUAAGGAGAUAUCCUCCAAUAUGGUACGCCCCGAGUGGAUUCUGAGUUCCCAUGGAGAGCACUGAACAUUUGGCAUGGUUUAUUGGAAGCAGCCAUUUUUCCGUCCAACUUUGGAGCCUAUCUAACACGUCUUGGAAACGGUCAGCAUCCUCGACGCUAGUAACUUCAGCCCAAAGUUUUAAAUCAUCCGCGUACAGUAAACACUCAAUGUUCAGUUCUUUCGGGAGAUCGUUGACAUAGAGCUUGAAGAGUUCGGGUCCAAGGACCGAUCCUUGUGGCACUCCACUAGACAUAAGCACAGGCGCUGAGUAUGCGUCGUUGACUUUCACUCGCAUAUAACGUCCUUCCAGAAAGUCAGCAAUCCAGGAUAAGAUCUUCCCAGUUACACCAACCCUUUGGAGUUUAAGCAGGAGACGCAUGUGAGGUACUCUGUCAAAGGCUUUGCUAAAGUCCACGAAAAUGACAUCAAGGCAUUUACCAGCGUCGACGGCAGCUACCCACUUCUCUCUGGCUACUAAGAGAUUCGAUACACAGGAACGUCCUUCCUGGAAACCAUGCUGAGCAGCAGUUAGCACGUCAAGCUCGUUCAGUCGACAGGUAGACGUCCGGUUUCCAAGGAAAGCUGGAGUAUGUGUCGGACGGGUUCUGCAAUAUGCUCGACAAUAGUUCUGAGGAAAGCUGGGUGCAUCUCAUCUGGCCCAGGAGAGGAGUCCGGCCGUAACUCCAGAAGUGCUUUCAUAACAUUUUCUCGCUCAAAUACAAGAUGGUGGAAGCCUGAGUCAGGAACAGGAAUAUGGGAAUCCAGGAUCUGCGGCUCGACGGUAUACACAGAGGCGUAUUGUGAGCCGAGUGAUUCAGCUUUUUCGGCAUCCUGGAGAAGGAGAUCCUCAGAACCCGGGGAACGAAGGGGAGGUAUGCCGCUUCCUGCCUUGGUCCUUCUCUUCAAAUAAGCGAACAGGAGCUUUGGGGAAGUCUUGGAUGUCUCCGCCAGACGCAGUUCAUAUUCGGUUCGUUUUUUCCGCUUCAUUUGUGUGCACCGAUUUCGAACUAUUUUGUAGCGAUCAUAGUCCACGGGAGAUUGAGACAGUUUGAAUCGAUCCCAUAGUUUAUGACGACUUUUCAGCAAGAGUCUUAGUUCACCAUCAAACCAAGGAGGACCUUUGGUGAAGGUUCGUUUCCGAGAAAUUGGCACAUGCUCCUCCACAAGAAGUUCAAGUUUGGAACGAAACAGGGUCCAGGCAUCUUCGAGUUCGAGAUGAGACGGAAUACUCCAGUCUGUUUGAGCAGCAGCUUCCUGAAGAGUGGGUUGAUUUGUACGCCAAUAAUUUCGACGAGGUCUACCAGAAUCGUUAAUUGAUGCACAACCGCUCCAGUGAAAGGAAAUUGUACAGUGAUCACUUCUCCCGAUUGGCAGCGAACAUUGCAAUUUGUCGAUGUCAGUUGGGGACGCUGUUAAAACAAGAUCCAGGAUGUUUGAGGUUUGACCAGGAAACAUACGGGUUGGAGACAUGACAUGCUGGGUCAAAUUGCAGUCGAGAAUUGUAUCAAGCA